AGUAGCGAAUGAGGAGUGAGAAACUCCUCCACCGAAAGACCAAGGGUUCCAGGGUCAAGCUAAUCUGCCCUGGGUAAGUCGGGACCUAAGGCGAGGCCGACAGGCGUAGUCGAUGGACAACGGGUUGAUAUUCCCGUACCGGCGAAGAACCGCCCAUACCGAGCCCGGUGAUGCUAACCGUCCGAACUGUUGCACCGUGACCUUCGGGUCGCACCGCUUCAGGGAGCACGGGACCCGAACCGGUAGUAGGUAAGCGUAUUAACAGGAGUGACGCAGGAAGGUAGCCAAGCGUGGCGAUGGUAGUCCACGUCCAAGGUCGUAGGGCGAGUUGUAGGCAAAUCCGCAACUCACAUAGCCUGAGAGCUGAUGGUGACCGCAAUAGCGGGAAUUUGGUGAUCCUAUGCUGCCAAGAAAAACUUCGACGCGAGGUUCUAGCCGCCCGUACCCCAAACCGACUCAGGUGGUCAGGUAGAGAAUACCAAGGAGAUCGAGAGAAUCGUGGUUAAGGAACUCGGCAAAAUGCCCCCGUAACUUCGGGAGAAGGGGGGCCUUCGACGUAUUAGGACUUGCUCCGAAGGCGUUUGGAGGCCGCAGAGACUAGUGGGUAGCGACUGUUUACUAAAAACACAGGUCCGUGCGAAGUC
rnacentral:rRNA from 1 species